rnacentral:rRNA from 1 species
GACGAAUGCUGGCGGCGUGCUUAACACAUGCAAGUCGAACGGAAAGGCCCUGCUUUUGUGGGGUGCUCGAGUGGCGAACGGGUGAGUAACACGUGAGUAACCUGCCCUUGACUUUGGGAUAACUUCAGGAAACUGGGGCUAAUACCGGAUAGGAGCUCCUGCUGCAUGGUGGGGGUUGGAAAGUUUCGGCGGUUGGGGAUGGACUCGCGGCUUAUCAGCUUGUUGGUGGGGUAGUGGCUUACCAAGGCUUUGACGGGUAGCCGGCCUGAGAGGGUGACCGGCCACAUUGGGACUGAGAUACGGCCCAGACUCCUACGGGAGGCAGCAGUGGGGAAUAUUGCACAAUGGGCGGAAGCCUGAUGCAGCCACGCCGCGUGCGGGAUGACGGCCUUCGGGUUGUAAACCGCUUUCGCCUGUGACGAAGCGUGAGUGACGGUAAUGGGUAAAGAAGCACCGGCUAACUACGUG